ensembl:lncRNA
UUGAGAGUAGUGCUCAAGACACUGCUAAAACUAGGACAAUUCACUUGUGCCUGAGAUGAGAAAGGACAGACCUGGACAUUGAGAGGUGAGAACCAUGUGGAUUCCUUCCCACAGGACUUCAGCAUUUCCAGACUGGGAGACAGCGGGCAGUGGGCUGAUGGGAGGAAAGCCCAGCUCUCAACUGAGUCACUGAAUCAUCAGACGAUUCACAGAAUUUGUGUCUACCCUCAAGUAUGAGUCUAGGAAAGGAAAUGUGGUUCCCCAAGUCAAUUUUAUAAAUGUGAAAAAAACAAGAGUACAUGAGGACAAGUAUUUUCAGUGGGGAAUUCUGAGACACAUCCUUCAUCCCAGCAGACUACCAUAGAGGAUGAGGCCAACUCAUCCAUGUGCUAGUUAAAGAGAUGAAUUACUUUCUGUUCCUCUUCAAUUUUCCUGUAAACAUUGUGACUGUGCAGCCCAUUUUAUAUAGUAGCCGUAGAAUCACAGUGGUUGAAAAGGAUCUGUGGAGGUCAUCUCAUCCAAACUCUUCCACAAGCCCAAUCUAAGGCUGCUGAGGGCCAUGUUCAGAUGGAUUUUUAAUAUCUUCAAGGCAGGAAUUUAUCUCCAGGCAGCCUGGUCCAGAGUCUGAUGACUCUUGUGGUGACUUUUUCCUUUAUAUUCAAAGCAAAUUUUCCAUCUUGUAUAUUUUGUCACUUAUCCUAUCUCUGUGCAACCCGAAGGAGUAUAUUGUUCCAUCUUCUUUGUAUCAUCAUGCAGUUGUAGGUAUCAGUGCCACUUCCCAAAGUAGAGCAAAAGCAGCUCCCUCAGCUUCUCCAUUUAUUUCCUGUGUUCCAACAUACAGACUAUCUUGGCAUCUCUGCUAAGACAUACCAAUAUGUCAGUGAUUUUCUUUGGUCAAAAUGGUAAAUAAGAAACAGUCCAAGUGCUGUGGACUUCAAGUGUAAGGAACAGGAUGAGGUCAUUGUUGUAUGCAUG